rnacentral:rRNA from 1 species
AAUUAAUUUUAAUCCAACAUCGAGGUCGCAAUCUCUCUUUUCGAUAAGAACUCUAAAAAGAAUUACGCUGUUAUCCCUAAGGUAAUUUAAUYUUAUAAUCUUAUACUAAGGAUCAUAAAUCUACAAAUUAAUAUUUUAAUAAAGAAAAGUUUCAUAAAUUUUCCCAUCACCCCAACAAAAUAAACAAAAAUAAAACAGAAAUCUUAUUCAUCCUUUACUCUAUAAUUUAUUUAUGUUUAUAAAACUCUAUAGGGUCUUCUCGUCUUUUAUAAAUAUUUAAGCUUUCUCACUUAAAAAUAAAAUUCUAUUAAAUUUCUCUAGAGACAGCCAUUUUUCCAUCAAACCCUUCAUUCAAGCUUUCAAUUAAAAAACUAGUGACUAUGCUACCUUUGCACGGUCAAAAUACCGCGGCCCUUUAAUCCCUCAGCGAGCAGGCCAGACCUGAAAUCAUUCCUCAACA